AAUAUUGGGACAUAUAAAAAAAGACAACUCUGUUCCACAGAGUAGCUGUUGACAUUAUAGUUGCGCAGGAACUUUGUUGACUCUAGAGAACCUAGGGCAAAUCGCACAUCCCCGUGGCGGCGACUUUGCAUGCGGAUGUCAUCCAUAUCAACUUUUGAUGCCAGUUUCUGCAUCUACCAUGGUGACCACGGGUAACGGAGAAUCAGGGUUCCAUUCUGUACAGGGACCCUGAGAAACGGCUACAACAUGCAAGGAAGGCAGCAGGCGCGCAAAGGACCCACUCCCGACGCGGGAAGGUAGUGA